CCUACGGGAGGCAGCAGUGGGGGAUAUUGCACAAUGGGGGAAACCCUGAUGCAGCGACGCCGCGUGGGUGAAGAAGCGCCUCGGCGCGUAAAGCCCUGUCAGCAGGGAAGAAAAUGACGGUACCUGAAGAAGAAGCCCCGGCUAACUACGUGCCAGCAGCCGCGGUAAUACGUAGGGGGCAAGCGUUAUCCGGAUUUACUGGGUGUAAAGGGGGCGCAGACGGCGAUGCAAGCCAGGAGUGAAAGCCCGGGGCCCAACCCCGGGACUGCUUUUGGAACUGCGUGGCUAGAGUGCAGGAGGGGCAGGCGGAAGUCCUGGUGUAGCGGUGAAAUGCGUAGAUAUCAGGAGGAACACCGGUGGCGAAGGCGGCCUGCUGGACUGCAACUGACGUUGAGGCCCGAAAGCGUGGGGAGCAAACAGGAUUAGAUACCCCAGUAGUC
rnacentral:rRNA from 1 species